UACUAGAGUAGCACUCGCAUAUCAAUAAGCGGAGGAAAAGAAACUAACAAGGAUUCCCCUAGUAACGGCGAGUGAAGCGGGAAGAGCUCAAAUUUGAAAUCUUAAAGGGUUUCCCUUUACGAAUUGUAGUUUAAAGAAGUGUUUUCUGUUGGAGUUUCGGUAAAAGUUCUUUGGAAUAGGACAUCAUAGAGGGUGAGAAUCCCGUAUUUGACCGUUACUUUCCAGCUGUGUGAUACACUUUCAAAGAGUCGGAUUGUUUGGGAAUGCAGUCCAAAAUGGGUGGUAAAUUUCAUCUAAAGCUAAAUAUUGGCGAGAGACCGAUAGCGAACAAGUACCGUGAGGGAAAGAUGAAAAGAACUUUGAAAAGAGAGUUAAACAGUACGUGAAAUUGUCAAAAGGGAAGCGUUUGACACCAGUGUUGUUUUCUCGAAAACCAAUUAAAAAAGGCUGGAUUUUGUGUUGUAUUGACCUUAAAAGCUUUCUUCACUCUUUUCUUGUCUUUUUUAAUGCACUUUUCGUUUAACAAGUCAACAUCAGUUUCUUUUGUUGUAAAAGGGUAUGAGGAAGGUGGCUUUCUUUUCGGAGAAAGUGUUUAUAGCCUUGUGCCUCUGCAAUCGGAGAGAUUGAGGUCUGCAGCGUAGAUCCUUCGGGGUUAGAUACGUUUGUGCUAAGUUAUAGCUUUUUCAUAGACAACUUGUUGACUAUGUUUAGUCUUGUAGCUUACUCGCUUAUGCUAUUUUACCUACGCUUAGGAUGUUGAAGAUGUAGCACAUCAU
rnacentral:rRNA from 1 species